AUGCAAUCAUCAACUUCAGUUUUCAACAUACUAUUAUCACUUAUCAGUAACCAUUGCCUUUUGUUCUCAUGGCCACUAAAAUUUUCAAAAUCAUAUACUGGAAUAAGGGUCACUACAAUUUCAGCUAAUAUUGAAAACUAUAUAUGUUUCUUAAAUUGUAGAAAAUCAUGCCAAGCAAAACGUCAUCAUAGAUCUUCAUAA